rnacentral:rRNA from 1 species
UACGGAGGGUGCAAGCGUUAUCCGGAUUCACUGGGUUUAAAGGGUGCGUAGGCGGCCUUAUAAGUCAGUGGUGAAAGCCCACAGCUCAACUGUGGAACUGCCAUUGAUACUGUAAGGCUUGAGUACAGACGAGGUAGGCGGAAUUGAUGGUGUAGCGGUGAAAUGCAUAGAUACCAUCAAGAACACCGAUUGCGUAGGCAGCUUACUAGGCUGUAACUGACGCUGAGGCACGAAAGCGUGGGGAGCGAACAGG